UAAAAAGCAUGAUGUAAAAAUGUUAGUUGGUUGGGCCCGAAUGGCCCGAACCUUAACUCAAAUGGUCAAAAUCCUCAACCGAAAGCUAACCAAUUGGUUUGAUACUUACAGCACACACAUAAUAGCACACAAAUAAUAAAUGACAGCUGUCAUACUCAAUCCACGUGCUAAUCCUUAUGAAUUCUAUUGAUUCAUCAUUAAGACCUUCCAUAUAUCAAGGCAUUUCCUUUAAUAAUAUUAAAUUAAUUAAAAAAAAAUAACAGUAAAUGAUGAUUAAGAUAAAUGAAAUUCAGACUUAAAAGACCAAACAAUUCUUUCUCUUCCCUAAUUGUGCCUCCCUUCUUAUCGUUAGGAUACUUUCUCCCUCAUUCUGAAUCCUCUCCGGGGAAGAAGAACAAAAAGUCGGUGGUCUGCGGUGGUUACCACCAUUUUCUCCGGACAACCGAACCCACAAACACAAAGUCUAAGAACCAACUUUCCUAAAAUCUUCUACUGAACAGAGAUCCUAUACCCAAAUCCCCAACCAGACAUGAUUCUAACGUUAAAUGAACAACAAUUGGAAGGAUCAGAGUCCUUAAAGGCGAAACAAAUUCCGCAUGUUAAAACCGAACUCCAGAUUUUCGUUCUCAGUACCUUCAAAGUCGGAAUCAAACCUCACAUGGUUUGCAACAAACACAAUUCAUCCAACAAAUGUAAAAAAUAAAUCAACAGUUAUCACCAUACAUCAAAACAAAAUCAAAAUGCCCUAAGAGUCAUGGAUCUAUACAAAGGCAAAGCGCAUAAACCAACCGAAUCUGCAGUGUAUAAGAGUAACGACGCUCUAGGAAGGAGUCCAUGCUUUAGUCAUCAAAUGGUUCUUAUAUAGAGUUCUUGUACGAGGUUCAUCCGUCCUUAUCUUUCAUGAGCUGGAAAAUCUUGGAUAGGAUCAAUCCGUUAGAGGGAAUUUUUCUUCAGAUUUGGUGGGGACCAAGGUAAAUGUGGUAGGAAACGAAUUUGAUUGUGGUCCCAAAAUCUCUAAAUGCGUGGCCAUUUGCAGCAGUAAAAUGUAUAUCUGUUAUGGGUACUAUUAUGCAUUUAUAUGGAUUGGUUGGCUCCUUAUUGUCCUGUUAGAAAUGCCUGAUCUUUAACCUGCAUAGUCAAAACACGGCUCAGAAGAUCAACAUGCACUUGAUCCAUUACAAGUCACGCCCUUUGGCUUAUUGUACCCUUCUGCAUAGAAGCAAUUCGUAUUAGAUUGCAUCCUCUUCGGUUAAAGUCCAGUUUGAAAUUCUCUUUCAUAUGCUCCAUUCAUAUUAUGGUCUAGUUAUUAAUGCUGGUGUAUCUUAAUACUGAUUGGAAAAGUUGUAAUUGAUUCCGGUUAUCUUGUAAUGCUAAUGACUUUGUUUCUCCUCAGGUUACAUGUAGGCUCGGUUUGGCGGCAAGCUUCCAAGAGGAUUGGCAAUGUUGUUGGUAUCACAACCAUAUAGCUUAAACCAUGUAUCUCGUGGUGUUGUAUGAUAAUGGCACAAGCGAAUUCACUCCAUGUUAAUGGUUUGGUAACCGGUUUUCUUUUCAUGGUUCAACAUCUGUCACGGUUCUGUUUGCAUGAUUCCUAUGGCAUCCAUUAUGCCAUUUUUGUUUUGGAAUAUCAUCUGUUCUGGUUUUGGUAUAACAGAGAUUAAUUCUUUCACCUAUGCACUGAUCUUCAUGGUUUCAUGGGUGUUUUGUAGGUGAUGCUCAUUAAGCGGUUUAUGUAGGUGGUCUGUCAUCUAUAUGCGCUGCAGGAAAUGCUUUGGAUUUUUGCAUGGGUCUGAUUCCUCAAAACAAACUGUAGGGCAUGUUGUUUAGCUUGUGAACUUUUGACUUGGACGGUAAUGCAGGCUGGACCACGUGGCUUGGAUUCUUUCUUUUGGAAGUUUACUUCUUUAAUUUGGCUCACUGUAAUGUAGUUUAGGACCUGACGAUGUGCUUUUGUUAAUGACAACCGAAGCAGCUACAUUUGUAAAAUCCAUAAUUUGUAGUGCUCUAAUGUUUGUAUUCUGAAAUCCAUGGAAAUAUGAUGCGUGCAUGUACAUUUGGUCUUCAUCCUAAAAGACCUCUUAAAUAAUGAUUAUAAGUGAGGAACAGAAA